UCCACGCAUCGACCUGGUAUUGCAGUACUUCCAGGAACGGUGCACCUUCCCCACGAAAUUGGUGAAAAAAAGAGGUGUUUAAUAUGGUACCUUCUGUCCCCUUACCACAUCCUUGGUGCCACCUGUGCCUCCGAACGUAGCUGGCAGAAAGUGUACCCACCGGGCUCAUGUGGCUCGCCCCAGCUCUCCGUAGGCCAGGGAAAACUAGGCACCGUCAACGUUCCCUACCGGCCAUCAAGAUGCCCUUACAGGAAAGGUUCUCCACGUCUAAAUACCUGCAUCCUGGGACACGUUCCAAGUGACCUGCCAGGGUGACUGCUCAUCGGCUGUCCCACCCGGCCGGCCUGUGGGAUACUGCGUCUGGCCCUCCGACCCAUCCCGAGCAGGUCUGGCUCACACUCCUUCCGGUUCUCCUUGCGCUUGCCUUGUCAAAAUGUUAACAGUCGAAGACAUUUUUUGGUGACCCUUGCUGAACUGCAGAUUCGGGAGUCAGAGAACAUUCAUCGGGGAUAGCGUCAUUUGCAGACCUGCGGUGGGAGCUGUCCCUCCGCGAAUGGGUCUCACCGACCCGGGUUCCUCUGGCCGUGUUCUCCACUGCAUUCCACAAAGGCAACGUGGAGCCCGCGGGGAUGGGGUCUCCCAUUCUGGGGGGUCUGCCUUCAGGAAGGAGGACUGGGUACUUCUUUGUUACGGCAAAGAGAAAACGGGAGGACGGUGGGUGCGGCGGCACGACCUGUUCCGAGACCGCGGCGUCCCUCUCCCCUCUGGGAGAUUCCUUCCUUCCUCCAUUUGCAGGUCCUUGUAGACGUUUUGGUCGUAGCCGCGGAGGGAGGAAUAAGGGCAGGCAGGCGGGCAGAAAUAACGCCUGGGCUGACGACCCAGCAGACGGUGUCCGGACGCAGGGAGAGUAAGGUCGCUGAGACCCCGCGGCGUGUCUCCGGUUUUGAGAGAAGGAAAAGCGGCCGCGGAGGCCGGCCCCGCCGCUCACAGCUAGGCCGGGGUGGUCUCCGGUGGGCCGUGGACAGUUUCCCGCGAGGGCGGCCGCCUUAGAAAGAGAACAGCCAGUGAUUUUACUGGCCAGAUGAGUCUGUUCGGGGAUGGCGGAGGCCUCGCAGUCAGGCACGUGCAAGCUUCGGGGAGCCACCAGCAAGUCUGAGGAGGCAAAGGGGAGGUCACGUUUUUUGGUUUGUUUGGUUUUUGUCCGUCCUUCCUUCCUUCCUUCCGUCGUCACUGGAAAGUCAGCUUCGAUUUCGAUUCACGGAGGAUAUUGGGAAUGGAGGCUUGCUUUGAACACAAGUUCCGGGGAGAAGAGCGAGCCUUUGAGGUUGUGGCGGUUUCCCAUUCAAAGGCGGGCGGUGGUUAGUGCUUGCUGCUGGGGCAAGAGGGGCUCUAGCCUCCUUUUCCUUACCGGCAAGCGAUGCCCUCCCUGCUCCAGAAGGUUCUCCCUUGUCAGAAUAAUGUUUAUCUUCCUUCCUGCUGGUUAGGCAGGAGUGCUGUGGGCUUGAGAGCUCCCCUUCCCCAGGCCUUCCCGAGUCCAGCCUCAGCGAGAUGUCCUUCCUUUGCGACAUCAGCGUGGGGCCGGGCCGCUCUGGGACCGUGGCGAGUCAAGACAGGAGCGAGGCCCACCCGGUGGUGGGUCACGUGGGAACGGAGACAACAAAGAAGAACGUUGUCCGAACAACAGAAUGGACCAAACACGUCCCCGUACCCUGUCUAACGGGAGUAACUGCUGCGGGACGGACGGGCAGCUUUGGCUUGGCUCUGGUUUUCCUUUCUCCUGGCUGGCGACGAGGCCCCUUCACUGCGGGAACUUCAAGCCGGCGGAGGAGCCUUCCCACUUCGGGAGAUCUCCACACGCAGUCUCCCUUGGAUUCAGCUGCCUCUGCCUUUUGUAACUCCCGCUCCCUGUACGAGCCCGGACUGACCAACGCUGAGCCAGAGGUAGGGACGUCUCUAUGCCCCCGUCCAGCAGGAAGAAGUCCCAGAAGAUGAGACCUUCCGCCCUCAGAACCGUAAAGAUUUAUGGGUCUAAACUGUUCACGGGGGGGGGGGGGGGGGGGGGGGAGUGAUGUGGGAAACAAAGGCAGAAGAAGAAUUAUUAAAGUUCCCUACUACCUGUAGCCCGUUGGCAAGUCCCUGAAACAGGCAGAGUGACAUUCCCCUAGGGACUCACUGGCCUCGAUGUUAAUCGAUGUUAAUCUGCCCUUUUGGUAAGGGCAGAAGGCAACCCUCGCCUGAAACCCUCCCCACACCCACCAGGAUCCUGUAAGUCUACUUUAACCCAUAAAGGGCCCUUUAUUUCUAAACCCCGCAAGGUUCGUGUUGGCAGUCAUCCCCCAAGCAUAUGGCCCACCGAUGUACAUCGGAAGGGUCUCACCCCGAGGGUUUUGCUAGACGGUAAUAGGUAAUGACAACAACAGCUCAGCCCCCUGGAGGCCCUGGAAACCUGGCUUCCAAAAUUCCUAGGAGACUUAACGCUCUCCGUGACCCCCUCCCAACUUGGAAGUAUGUUAAUGGGGACACCUCCCCGGGACCCCGCUGGGGCUCUUUCUGCCCAGGGGCCCUGUCCCCGUGCUUUAAUAAAACCACCCUUUGGCACGGAA